GAUGAGCCCACCCGUACCAGAUGAGCCGAGGCUGGCUUGAACUAUGUCCUGCUGCCUCCUUGCCCUUCUCCUGGGCACUUUCUUAGGUGUCAGCGCUCAGACCAUCCACCAAUGGCCACCCGUCAGGGUGCGGCUUGUGGGCAGCCCGCUCUCCCUGGAGUGCAUCGUGAAGGGGAUAUCAAACCCUUAUCUAUAUUGGUACCGGCAGGCCGAGGGAGGGCCCCCCCAGCUGCUCUUCUACUCCCUAAAUAUUCACCAGGUAGACCCUGAGGCACCACGGAACUUCACAGCCUCCAGGCCCCAGGACGGCCAGUUCAUCUUGAGUUCUCAGAAUCUCCUCCUCAGUGACUCUGGCUUCUACCUCUGCGCCUGGAGUCUCACACCAAGCCGGGCGAGGUAG